rnacentral:sRNA from 1 species
UGUUAUUUUCUCUUAUUU